AGUGAACGCUGGCGGUAGGCCUAACACAUGCAAGUCGAACGGCAGCACAGUAAGAGCUUGCUCUUACGGGUGGCGAGUGGCGGACGGGUGCGGAAUACAUCGGAAUCUACUUUUUCGUGGGGGCUAACGCAGGGAAACUUACGCUAAUACCGCAUACGACCUACGGGUGAAAGCAGGGGAUCUUCGGACCUUGCGCGAUUGAAUGAGCCGAUGUCGGAUUAGCUAGUUGGCGGGGUAAAGGCCCACCAAGGCGACGAUCCGUAGCUGGUCUGAGAGGAUGAUCAGCCACACUGGAACUGAGACACGGUCCAGACUCCUACGGGAGGCAGCAGUGGGGAAUAUUGGACAAUGGGCGCAAGCCUGAUCCAGCCAUACCGCGUGGGUGAAGAAGGCCUUCGGGUUGUAAAGCCCUUUUGUUGGGAAAGAAAAGCAGCAGGUUAAUACCCCGCUGUUCUGACGGUACCCAAAGAAUAAGCACCGGCUAACUUCGUG
rnacentral:rRNA from 1 species